rnacentral:rRNA from 1 species
GAACGCUGAUGUUUGGUGUUUACACUAGACUGAUGAGUUGCGAACGGGUGAGUAACGCGUAGGUAACCUGCCUCAUAGCGGGGGAUAACUAUUGGAAACGAUAGCUAAUACCGCAUAAGAGUGAUUAACACAUGUUAGUUAUUUAAAAGGAGCAAUUGCUUCACUGUGAGAUGGACCUGCGUUGUAUUAGCUAGUUGGUGAGGUAAAGGCUCACCAAGGCGACGAUACAUAGCCGACCUGAGAGGGUGAUCGGCCACACUGGGACUGAGACACGGCCCAGACUCCUACGGGAGGCAGCAGUAGGGAAUCUUCGGCAAUGGACGGAAGUCUGACCGAGCAACGCCGCGUGAGUGAAGAAGGUUUUCGGAUCGUAAAGCUCUGUUGUUAGAGAAGAACGUUGGUAGGAGUGGAAAAUCUACCAAGUGACGGUAACUAACCAGAAAGGGACGGCUAACUACGUGCCAGCAGCCGCGGUAAUACGUAGGUCCCGAGCGUUGUCCGGAUUUAUUGGGCGUAAAGCGAGCGCAGGCGGUUCUUUAAGUCUGAAGUUAAAGGCAGUGGCUUAACCAUUGUACGCUUUGGAAACUGGAGGACUUGAGUGCAGAAGGGGAGAGUGGAAUUCCAUGUGUAGCGAUGAAAUGCGUAGAUAUAUGGAGGAACACCGGUGGCGAAAGCGGCUCUCUGGUCUGUAACUGACGCUGAGGCUCGAAAGCGUGUGGGAGCAAACAGGAUUAGAUACCCUGGUAGUCCACGCCGUAAACGAUGAGUGCUAGGUGUUAGGCCCUUUCCGGGGCUUAGUCCCAGCUAACGCAUUAAGCACUCCGCCUG